CGUGCCUAAGAAAUGCAAGUCGAGCGAGGCCAUGGAGCUUGCUCCGGAAGCCUAGCGGCGAACGGUCGCGUAACACGCAAGCAACCUGCCCCAAAGUUUGGGAUAGCCCGCCGAAAGGGGGAUUAAUACCGGAUGUGGAUGUCGAUAUGCAUGUAUUGACAUCUAAAGCAUUUAUGCGCUUUGGGAUGGGCUUGCGGCCUAUCAGCUAGUUGGUGAGGUAACGGCUCACCAAGGCGACGAUGUCUAGGGGUCCUGAGAGGGUUUCCCCCCACACUGGUACUGAGACACGGACCAGACUCCUACGGGAGGCAGCAGUAAGGAAUAUUGGUCAAUGGACGCAAGUCUGAACCAGCCAUGCCGCGUGCAGGAUGACUGCCCUACGGGUUGUAAACUGCUUUUACGUGAGAAAAAACUCCCCGAUUCGUUCGGGGACUGAUGGUAUCACAUGAAUAAGCAUCGGCUAACUCCGUGCCAGCAGCCGCGGUAAUACGGAGGAUGCAAGCGUUAUCCGGAUUCAUUGGGUUUAAAGGGUGUGCAGGCGGAAUGAUAAGUCAGAGGUGAAAUCCCCCGGCUCAACCGGGGACCUGCCUUUGAUACUGUUGUUCUUGAGUAUAGUUGAAGUGGGCGGAAUGUGUCAUGUAGCGGUGAAAUGCAUAGAUAUGACACAGAACACCGAUAGCGAAGGCAGCUCACUAACCUAUAACUGACGCUCAUGCACGAAAGCGUGGGGAGCAAACAGGAUUAGAUACCCUGGUAGUCCACGCUGUAAACUAUGAUCACUAGUUGUUAGCGAUACACUGUUAGCGACUGAGGGAAACCAUUAAGUGAUCCACCUGGGGAGUACGGCCGCAAGGUUGAAACUCAAAGGAAUUGACGGGGGCCCGCACAAGCGGAGGAGCAUGUGGUUUAAUUCGAUGAUACGCGAGGAACCUUACCUGGGCUUAAAUGCAGGACGACAUCCCGUGAAAACGGGAUUUCUUCGGACGGCCUGCAAGGUGCUGCAUGGUUGUCGUCAGCUCGUGCCGUGAGGUGUCGGGUUAAGUCCCAUAACGAGCGCAACCCCUAUUCUUAGUUGCCAUCAGGUAAUGCUGGGAACUCUAAGGAAACUGCCUACGCAAGUAGUGAGGAAGGUGGGGAUGACGUCAAAUCAGCACGGCCCUUAUGUCCAGGGCGACACACGUGCUACAAUGGCCGAUACAGAGGGGAGCUAACUGGUGACAGUCUGCAAAUCUCGAAAGUCGGUCUCAGUUCGGAUCGGAGUCUGCAACUCGACUUCGUGAAGCUGGAUUCGCUAGUAAUCGCGCAUCAGCCACGGCGCGGUGAUACGUUCCCGGGCAUUGUACACACCGCCCGUCAAGCCAUGGAAGUUGGGAGUACCUAAAGUCCGUGACCGCAAGGAGCGGCAUAGGGUAAGAC
rnacentral:rRNA from 1 species